CUUGUUUAAUUUGAAACUGUCAUAAGCUGAGUUUUGUUGACACAUGUGAUAGUUGCAUGUGUUGUUUUUUAUCAUUUGACCACCUUUAACCAUAUAACCAUUUGAUCAUUUUCAACAAUAUUCAAUUUCAUUAUGUCCAUUCACCAUUUUGAAAACUACUCGUCUUGAGUUACUUUAAAGGUGAUUCAUUAUAUUUUACUGUGUGAUUUCUAUGAUGUGGACGAUGAGGGAAUGAGGCCUUGAAAAUUGAAGAGCUAAACAGUUCUUAGAAAAGAUUUGAUACGAAUAAGGAAGGUUUUACUUUUGAGUUUUAUCUUUAUGUUUUACUAGAUGUGAUUUUUAUAUCCAAAAAAACAAGCAUUUUGAUGUGCAUUUGUAACUGCGUAGGUAAAUCGCACGUGCUUCAAACAUGUAAGGUGUGUGCGUUUAUCUCUCUUUUUGGUGAACUUAGCGUGCCAAGUAAAGUUCAUGUUCGUGUGUUAACUGUGUGCAAGGCAGGUGCAAAAACCACAAGUUUGCAGAAGCAACAGGUAAACAGGAAAAGCAACUGUUGCAAACAGGAAAACAUCUGCUUAGACAGGGCGCUUCUGUUCUGAACUGAUGCAGAGUUGCGGGCAGAGUACAUGUAUAUAACACAUGAAGUUGAACCGCUUCGAGGCUCGCUUUCCUGAUGCUCCGAGAGACAUCUAUUCAAGGCAGAUGGACUCUGUCUAAACAAGUCAGGAGUAAAAUUGUUCAACUCCAACCUAUUCUACUUCCUGCGUCAUUCAUCUGUUCCCUCUGCCAAGGACGCGAGACAAGAGGAAUCACCACUGGAGGAAGAUACAACACAAUGUGCCAGGGGACUUCAAGAAGAAUCAUUUCACCCCCCACCACAAGCCAGCCCUGGGAUACAGCAGAGACGAGAGGAGGCGUCCUCCUCCUCGCUUGUCACCCUUUCUCCCUCCUCCCCCCUCUUUGAGUUCACUGACCACAUGAAGGAGCUGGUCAAUGCUGGAACUAAACGUACUCCCUGCCCUACACCCAUUUUCUCUCCCAUAAUCCCCCCUCGGCGUCAACCUCGAACAACUUUGGCACCAUCUCCACAAACACGACACCCACCACCUCCAUCCCCUCCACGAUUGAAUAAGCCUCUGUCUCCGCAGCCUGAUAAGGAUGUUCCUUUACAAAAUGUUGCAAGCACAGAUUGAUAUGUGCUGGGUCCAGGCUUCAAGGCUAAUGAUACACGUGACUGUUUCCAGGAUAAGAUGGGGCCCUGUGUGAUGAGAGCUUCUUCUAUCUCAGUUCUAAUAAGUAGUAGAAAAAGAAUGGUGAAUCUGCGAAGCAACAGGAAGAUUUUUACUGAUUGUGCAAAUUUAUCAAAUUUAGCAUUGAUUCCUUGCCAGCCAAACCAUG